rnacentral:rRNA from 1 species
GAAUUCACUAGUGAUUCUUGGUCAUUUAGAGGAAGUAAAAGUCGUAACAAGGUUUCCGUAGGUGGUUUGCCUGUCGGAUCCCCCCGCAGCGACUCUAAAGAACUGCGCCAGUCGGGCUCCCAUCUCGAAGCCUGGCGACGCCAUCAGUCUGGCUGGGAGCCCCCCUACGCGGGGGGCCACCAGCAGCUCCUUCGGGAGUCCACAGAUCAAACGAUGAGCGGCCGCUCCACUGCGGUUCAGAUAUGACCGGCCCCAGCCUGCAUCGGCUGGUGACUCCUCGUGGAACCUGCGGAAGGAUCAUU